CCUACGGGGGGCUGCAGUGGGGAAUAUUGCACAAUGGGCGCAAGCCUGAUGCAGCCAUGCCGCGUGUGUGAAGAAGGCCUUCGGGUUGUAAAGCACUUUCAGCGGGGAGGAAGGCGGUGAGGUUAAUAACCUCAUCGAUUGACGUUACCCGCAGAAGAAGCACCGGCUAACUCCGUGCCAGCAGCCGCGGUAAUACGGUGGGUGCAAGCGUUAAUCGGAAUUACUGGGCGUAAAGCGCACGCAGGCGGUCUGUCAAGUCGGAUGUGAAAUCCCCGGGCUCAACCUGGGAACUGCAUUCGAAACUGGCAGGCUAGAGUCUUGUAGAGGGGGGUAGAAUUCCAGGUGUAGCGGUGAAAUGCGUAGAGAUCUGGAGGAAUACCGGUGGCGAAGGCGGCCCCCUGGACAAAGACUGACGCUCAGGUGCGAAAGUGUGGGGAGCAAACAGGAUUAGAUACCCUAGUAGUC
rnacentral:rRNA from 1 species